AGAAACAUGGCUCAGUGGUCGAGCGCAGGCCUAGCAAGCACCAGGUCCUGGGUUCAAUCCCCUGUAUCUCCA
rnacentral:tRNA from 1 species